UAAUUUGAGAGUUUGAUCCUGGCUCAGGACGAACGCUGGCGGCGUGCCUAAUACAUGCAAGUCGAACGAACUCUGGUAUUGAUUGGUGCUUGCAUCAUGAUUUACAUUUGAGUGAGUGGCGAACUGGUGAGUAACACGUGGGAAACCUGCCCAGAAGCGGGGGAUAACACCUGGAAACAGAUGCUAAUACCGCAUAACAACUUGGACCGCAUGGUCCGAGUUUGAAAGAUGGCUUCGGCUAUCACUUUUGGAUGGUCCCGCGGCGUAUUAGCUAGAUGGUGGGGUAACGGCUCACCAUGGCAAUGAUACGUAGCCGACCUGAGAGGGUAAUCGGCCACAUUGGGACUGAGACACGGCCCAAACUCCUACGGGAGGCAGCAGUAGGGAAUCUUCCACAAUGGACGAAAGUCUGAUGGAGCAACGCCGCGUGAGUGAAGAAGGGUUUCGGCUCGUAAAACUCUGUUGUUAAAGAAGAACAUAUCUGAGAGUAACUGUUCAGGUAUUGACGGUAUUUAACCAGAAAGCCACGGCUAACUACGUGCCAGCAGCCGCGGUAAUACGUAGGUGGCAAGCGUUGUCCGGAUUUAUUGGGCGUAAAGCGAGCGCAGGCGGUUUUUUAAGUCUGAUGUGAAAGCCUUCGGCUCAACCGAAGAAGUGCAUCGGAAACUGGGAAACUUGAGUGCAGAAGAGGACAGUGGAACUCCAUGUGUAGCGGUGAAAUGCGUAGAUAUAUGGAAGAACACCAGUGGCGAAGGCGGCUGUCUGGUCUGUAACUGACGCUGAGGCUCGAAAGUAUGGGUAGCAAACAGGAUUAGAUACCCUGGUAGUCCAUACCGUAAACGAUGAAUGCUAAGUGUUGGAGGGUUUCCGCCCUUCAGUGCUGCAGCUAACGCAUUAAGCAUUCCGCCUGGGGAGUACGGCCGCAAGGCUGAAACUCAAAGGAAUUGACGGGGGCCCGCACAAGCGGUGGAGCAUGUGGUUUAAUUCGAAGCUACGCGAAGAACCUUACCAGGUCUUGACAUACUAUGCAAAUCUAAGAGAUUAGACGUUCCCUUCGGGGACAUGGAUACAGGUGGUGCAUGGUUGUCGUCAGCUCGUGUCGUGAGAUGUUGGGUUAAGUCCCGCAACGAGCGCAACCCUUAUUAUCAGUUGCCAGCAUUAAGUUGGGCACUCUGGUGAGACUGCCGGUGACAAACCGGAGGAAGGUGGGGAUGACGUCAAAUCAUCAUGCCCCUUAUGACCUGGGCUACACACGUGCUACAAUGGAUGGUACAACGAGUUGCGAACUCGCGAGAGUAAGCUAAUCUCUUAAAGCCAUUCUCAGUUCGGAUUGUAGGCUGCAACUCGCCUACAUGAAGUCGGAAUCGCUAGUAAUCGCGGAUCAGCAUGCCGCGGUGAAUACGUUCCCGGGCCUUGUACACACCGCCCGUCACACCAUGAGAGUUUGUAACACCCAAAGUCGGUGGGGUAACCUUUUAGGAACCAGCCGCCUAAG
rnacentral:rRNA from 1 species